rnacentral:rRNA from 1 species
CGGGGUGAGGAAUACAUCGGAAUCUGCCUUGUUGUGGGGGAUAACGUAGGGAAACUUACGCUAAUACCGCAUAAGACCUCAGGGUGAAAGCGGAGGACCUUCGGGCUUCGCGCGACAAGAUGAGCCGAUGUCGGAUUAGCUAGUUGGCGGGGUAAAAGCCCACCAAGGCGACGAUCCGUAGCUGGUCUGAGAGGAUGAUCAGCCACACUGGAACUGAGACACGGUCCAG